UCUUUGUGGGGGAUAACUAGCCGAAAGGUUAGCUAAUACCGCAUACGAUCUUCGAGAGACAUCUCUUGAAGAUGAAAGGAGCAAUCCGCAGAGAGACGGGACCGCGUCCCAUUAGCCAGUUGGUGGGGUAACGGCCUACCAAAGCAACGAUGGGUAGCUGGCUUGAGAGAGCGACCAGCCACACUGGGACUGAGACACGGCCCAG
rnacentral:rRNA from 1 species